CAGGAUUCCAAAGCCUGAAUGGCAUAAGUGGAAAGAAGAAUUUGGGAUGCAUAUCAAGGGAGUCUUGCAAAAAGGUGAUCUAGAACUAAUUCAUUCAUUUUUCUUUCCCUUUUUUCCACUCAUUUAUUCAUUUCAUUCAUUCAAAAAGCACAUGUUGCCAGGCACUGAGCCAUGCCCCAUGGAGCUCAGUCUACUGGGGAAGAUGGAGAGAGAUGACUGAUCAGAGCUGGGAUGGAGUGUUCACCAGGUGCCAUGUGGGAACCAUCUCUGAGGACAGUCUUCUUUCUGAUCAGCAAGGCUCGAGGGUCGCUAAUGAUAAUCAAAAGAGUCCCACUUGUCCUGCUCUCCCUCUGCAUCCACUUCUACCACACUGAUAAGUAGAAAGAAAGAAAAGUCAACAACCUCAGGAUGCUGGCGACGUCAUGCAACCCCUUGAUGAGUUUUUCCAAGCUGAAGACAGUCCUCUCAGCUGACACAGCAAGGACAUAUAUGCGUGCAUGCUAAUCUAUGUAAGUAUACCUAUCAAUAAAUAGUUCCAUAUGUAAAUAUCUAUACUAAGAUAACAUGUGUUCAUAUUGAUGUCUCCAACUCUAGUCUGUUACCACGGGCAUCACUGUUGUCUCUCUUCCUUGCUUAACUGUGCAUUCCCACUCCAACAGUGAGAUAUCUUGUUCCUGCCAUUUGCCAUCCAUUUACUUAAUUGUUCAGUUUUAAUAUACAUGUAUAGCAGUAUUAGAAUUGUUAACCUGUGUUUCUUGGGAAACAACUUUAUCAACUAGAGCAGUGGUCCCCAACCUUUUUGGCACCUGGGACCAGUUUCAUGCAAGAUAACUUUUCCACGAACCAGGGGAGAGGGGAUCAUUUCAGGAUGAUUCAAGUGCAUCACAUGUAUUUUUAUUAUUGUUACAGUGUAAUAUGUAAUGAAA
rnacentral:lncRNA from 1 species